ensembl:lncRNA
CGUGAUUCUAAGCUCCCUUGCUGCCUGACAAGCCAGUGAGUUCACACACACUGGCUGCACAGUGGAUAGACUGCACAGUGGAUGCACUCACAGUGGAUGGGCUCACACAGUGGAUGGGCUCACAGUGGAUAGACUGCACAGUGGAUGCACUCACAGUGGAUGUGCUCACAGUGGAUGGGCUGCACAGUGGAUGGGCUCACAGUGGAUGGGCUCACAGUGGAUGGGCUCACAGUGGAUGGGCUCACGGUGGAUGGGCUCACAGUGGAUGGGCUGCACAGUGGAUGGGCUCACACAGUGGAUGCGUUCACAGAGGAUGGGCUGCACAGUGGAUGGGCCCACAGUGAUGGGUCCACAGUGGAUGUGCUCACAGUGGAUGGGCUCACAGUGGAUGGGCUCACGGUGGAUGGGCUCACGGUGGAUGGGCUCACAGUGGAUGGGCUGCACAGUGGAUGGGCUGCACAGUGGAUGGGCUGCACAGUGGAUGGGCUCACAGUGGAUGGGCUCACAGUGGAUGGGCUCACACAGUGGGUGGGCUCACACAGUGGAUGGGCUCACAGUGGAUGGGCUGCACAGUGGAUGGGCUCACAGUGGAUGCACUCACAGUGGAUGGGCUCACAGUGGAUGGGCUCACAGUGGAUGGGCUGCACAGUGGAUGGGCUCACAGUGGAUGGGCUCACAGUGGAUGCACUCACAGUGGAUGCACUCACAGUGGAUGGACUGCACAGUGGAUGGGCUCACAGUGGAUGCACUCACAGUGGAUGGGCUGCACAGUGGAUGGGCUCACAGUGGAUGGGCUGCACAGUGGAUGGGCUCACAUUGGAUGGGCUCACAGUGGAUGGGCUCACAGUGGAUGCACUCACAGUGGAUGGGCUGCACAGUGGAUGGGCUGCACAGUGGAUGGGCUCACAGCAGUCCUCUCACCUGGCUGCAUAUCCAAUCACCUGGGUCCUCUUAUAUUUCCCAGGACUCCGUGGCACACCUGGCCCAUUAAAUCAGAAAGUUUGGGGUGAUGAGCCAGGCAGGCCAGAGGAAGGCAGAGAAGAUGAGGAGACCAGCUAAGUUGCAUAGUGCAGAAUAAUGCACUGCCUUGCAGCCACCCAGACCAGAGUUCAAAUCCCAGCUCUGCUGUGUGCUCUUACUGGGUGAUCUUGGAGAAGCUGCCUGACCCCUCCAGGCCUUGGAACUCUAAUCUAUAAAAUGGUGGUGUUAAUAAUCGUCAUCUCCAGUAUCUGUGACGCUGGGGUUAAGUAACAUCCGCUCUGGCUGUGGGAUCCUAGACAUGUUAUUUUGCCUCCCUCUGCUUCAGUGAACCCAUCUUUAAAAUGGGAAUGAUAACUCUUACUCAUAGAGGUGGAGUAAGGAUUAAAUCCAUUAAAUGAAUCAAUCUACACAAAGUACUUAGAACAACAUCUGGCCCGUCCCAAGAGCUUGGCACACCCCCCAUGCCCCACCUCCCUCCUGCGGUCAGGGGCCCCCUAGGCAGGGAUAGUCUCUUGGUCUCUCUUUCUUCUUAAGUGGAAGAUGGCCCCAGGACAGAGGGAGCAGCGAGGGCCUGGAUGCCCUGGAGGAGUGAAGAACCAUAGAGAUUGGUUUCCAAACUCAAAUAGUACUUAGUGAGCACCAGCCCUGUGCC